rnacentral:rRNA from 1 species
UUCGGCUAGGGGGCCAUCCCGGCUUACCAACCCGAUGCAAACUGCGAAUACCGGAGAAUGUUAUCACGGGAGACACACGGCGGGUGCUAACGUCCGUCGUGAAGAGGGAAACAACCCAGACCGCCAGCUAAGGUCCCAAAGUCAUGGUUAAGUGGGAAACGAUGUGGGAAGGCCCAGACAGCCAGGAUGUUGGCUUAGAAGCAGCCAUCAUUUAAAGAAAGCGUAAUAGCUCACUGGUCGAGUCGGCCUGCGCGGAAGAUGUAACGGGGCUAAACCAUGCACCGAAGCUGCGGCAGCGAC